ACCUAUGCAAUAUUGCCUUCCAAAGGAAGAAAGGAAAAAGGAAGACUGUCUUCUCCAUCACAAGACUGUCCUUACUGACUGACAAAUAAAAUAUUCUCCUUAAAAAGCAAUUAUGUUUUUGCUCAUUAAGUCUGGACACCUGGAGUAAAUAUUUGUUUCAGAUUUGCAGGCAUCCUAUUACAUUUAUUUUUAAAGGUUAGAUAAAACUGUUCCUCUUGGUUACCCUUUGUAUAAUUAACCUCAGUUUACUCUGAGUCUUUAAAAAUCAAGUAUCUUAUGAAGUUCACAUCAUGAAAAACACCAAUAAAUAAGGGCAAACAUUUUACUGCAUCUUUAGGUCAACAAACAGAUCACAAUAUCAGAUUCAUAGUUUCCCACCAAAUUAUCUAAGUUUUAAAAUUCCAUAAAAGCAAUUACUAGCUCUGAAAUACAGAAACGUAUUCAUUGCCCUUACAUCUGCUUGAUUUAUUUUUGUGAGAAUCAACAGGCUUUUUUCAUCCCAAAGACGGAUAAACACCAAAUGCAUGACUAUGUACGCCUAAACCACCUGGGAUAAACUAGCACUGAACAUCUUCUCCCCAUCUCUCCUUUCUCCCAAAGGGAGAUGUGAGAUCGGACCUUACUCCUCCACCAAGGGGACAACAAGGAAGAAGCAUUUCCUGAGGCAGCAGGGAGCAUUUCUCCCCAUGGCAUGCUCACUGACACUGGGGAUACAGUUGACCUUGUGUGCCCGCUGGGGCUGCCUCUAGUGCCUAGCCCACUACCAAGGAACACCAGCCUGGCACAGCUAUGCAGAGCAGCACCAAGCCGAGCCAAGCCAGCAGUGGCAUAAUCUACUAAUGGCUUCUUUUCAUUUCAGCCCUCCCUGAGAGACUCAGUGGCAGAUUGUAGACUCAAUUACUCUCAUGUCAGGUGAUUAUCCUAGGUCUUAAUGUAAUCUUCCAUUCACACAUACCAUAUUUCAAUUACGGCAGCUAUGAAACAAGCUGUGUAUUCAAAUCACCAAUCACCUUAUCACUGCUGAACAAUGUCAACUGUAAAAAACGCCAGCUGAAGGCAAUUACACAUGUGUUGAGAACCGAUUAUGAUUACUCUCUGUGGUAUUUGUGAUGAGCUGGGGAAUGUUCUGAAAAUUUAAUUUAAUGACAAUAUGCUUGCUGUACAAUCCAUAAUACCUCCUGAAUCCAGCAUGGGGCUAUUAAAACUGAUAGGAGCAUAUUAUCACCGAACUGAAAAGCUGGGUUGGGAUGGUUGCUGGAUGUCUCUACAGGGAAUGAUAGGUAAUUUCUCCACAUAUUUCUAACGGCUGAGGCAGACAGCUUCCAGUUCCAGCUGCACUCUGAAGGUGGUCCCCUCCCCUCCCUUUCUCCCUGGCAGAGCUGAGUUAAGGUGUUUUACUGGAGCCACUGGAGAGAGAGGGGAAGGGAAGGGAAGCAAAGCGAAGCGAGGGGGAGGUGGGGAUGGUGUGGGCCCAGGGGAGGACUGUGUCUCCAAGGCCUUCAGGCCACAGUGUUGUUUCCCUGAGGGACUUUCCUGAGCUCAUUAACUCCUCUUCCUGAUCCCCCGCACGCCUCCUCAUUUCUUGUUUGGCCACCCUCUCGCGGUACUUUGCCUAGCUAAGAUGGUUCAAGCGGCGAGGAGGAGAGGGACUAGUGGCCCUUGACGGCGGCCGCCCCGCCGGGCGCCGAGAGUGCAUCCGCACCCCCACCCCUGUUGCUAGGCGACCACUCCGGCCAGCGCGGCUUGCACCGAUCUCCCCAGGCGCGGCCCGAUCCUGCCCGCAGGCAGCUACGGGAAAGCUUGUCCUAAAAUAUCCCAGAUGUCUCCACGUAUGUAACAAAGGUGAAAUUCCAGUUGUGCGGCUCACGGGCCUGUCUGGCAUAGCCCGUGUUUCCAACAGAUCGGACUACUGUGGCCAUUUGCCCUUCUUUGUAUACAGGAUGAAUGUUCAGUGUAGAACGGGGAACUCAGCUACAUGCUUGCUUUUUAAACCUGGUAAUCAAAUAGUUCCCAAACAGUCCCAAGCAUGUUAUAGGAAUGAAGAACGGAACAGAAGAUUUGAUUAAAGAUCUGUGUCUUGAGAAAAAGUGUAGUUUGAGGUCUAGAAACCACUGGAAUUGGUUAUGUUCUUGGAAGAAGAUGGCUGCAGCAGAAAAGGAGAUGGACCAAGCCCUCAUUUCCAAGCAAGAACACCUUCAAAUGACUUCAGACAAGCUUUAAUUGAAAACUUGAACACACGCUGAAUGUGUCAGUGCUUGGACAGUCACUGUACACAAACAUUUAUAUUCAAUGAAAGGAAAGCCCCACUAACCAAACCCAGCCUGAUUGGAGUUUAAGACUGCCAAGCAGCACCUGUCAGGUAAAGCUACAGUAGUACACUGUUUCCAGCCAGAUGGAUGUACAGAGGUCAACAAGAGACCUAAGGUCUGCCCAACUGGAGAUACUGAAAGAGCUGUAGAAAAGCAAAAUCGAAAAACCUUCUACUCUGGAUAAUAGAACUGCUGCAAUCACAGACAUGCUCCACACAUCAUUAAGGGCUCAUCCUUAAUGAUGAUUGAACUAUGAGAAUUUAGAAGUGAAGGAC